ACGCUCGACACCUACGGGAGGCAGCAGUAGGGAAUCUUCCACAAUGGACGCAAGUCUGAUGGAGCAACGCCGCGUGAGUGAAGAAGGUUUUCGGAUCGUAAAGCUCUGUUGUUGGUGAAGAAGGAUAGAGGUAGUAACUGGCCUUUAUUUGACGGUAAUCAACCAGAAAGUCACGGCUAACUACGUGCAGCAGCCGCGGUAAUCUGAGCGGGCUGGCAAGGC
rnacentral:rRNA from 1 species